GUUCAGCAGUGCAAGCUGCCCCACACUCCCUUAUCAAUGUGCUUCACUCCUGAUCUGGAAAGGCCCCCUCUAAGAAUACAUAUCUAGAAAGAAGGUAGAGGAACAGCAGAAACCUUGUGUUCAUAGGGAAUGGAAUUGAAGAAACUGGGAUCUUCUUACACCUAAAAGUGAUUCUUACACAUCUUGGGCUGCUGUGGCACAGAACAGAGGGAAGAUGUUUCUAGUCAAGAGCUGGCAGCUGUGGAGACGGGUGAUUGAGAAGAGGCUGCUUUCCUCACAGCAUCCUGCCCGUGGGGCCAGGUUAGGAAGC